UACGUAGGUGGCGAGCGUUGUCCGGAUUUACUGGGCGUAAAGAGCUCGUAGGCGGUCUGUCACGUCUGCCGUGAAAACCCGAGGCUUAACCUCGUGGCUUGCGGUGGAUACGGGCAGACUAGAGGUAGGUAGGGGAGAAUGGAAUUCCCGGUGUAGCGGUGAAAUGCGCAGAUAUCGGGAGGAACACCGGUGGCGAAGGCGGUUCUCUGGGCCUUACCUGACGCUGAGGAGCGAAAGCGUGGGGAGCGAACAGG
rnacentral:rRNA from 1 species